UGCUCAUGAAGAAGCAUUAGAAUGAUUAAUUGAUCUUCUGUUCUUUGAUAAUCUAAGUUACACAAUCUCACUAUACAUGAUGUAGUCUGUAGAUAUCAGAGAAACAAAUCUCUAUACCUGCCCAAAAAUGAUCUAAUAGAUAUACAUGAUACAUAAACUAGGAAUAACUACUCCUAUUUGCUUGCCAGAACUUCAUCUAGUUAAAAAGAUUCCGCUGAUCAAUCUGUUUCAGAGCAGCCAUAUGGUGAACUCAUCAGAUCAUCUGCUUUCUCAUCGAACAUCCUAACUUCUGUUUCUUUAUCAAAUACCUGGUUUCCCUUUUUCCCUCGUUCUGCCCUGGACGACACUGUUUUGUGCUUUAUACCAACAGCUUCAGCUUGAUCUGCGAAUAAUUUCUUUGAGAUGGAUGAACUGCAUAUUUGUUGAUAGACAUCGUAGGUAGCUGCGUGAGUGUUUUCUCCGUUCAGAAUAUUUGAAAGAGGAUGCAACACGGAAAUUGGAUCACUGUCCUACUUAGAGUUUCCUUCAAUUCUAGAAACAUAGAAACCAGUUCUGGCUUGCUAAACUGAAUAAAGACAGCGCUUUCAUCCAAAUGGUAGACUGAGAAAACAGAAUUUGGGCCAAAGGCUUGUGCUAGAAUUCCUCUUUUAGCAUUUAUAGAUAGGGCACCAUUUCUUAGUUCUAGCCCGCUUCACACAUUCAUGCAUUCAAGACUUUAAGUAACAAGGAGAGACACUUUAGUCUACCAACCAAGUCACUUAUCAUCUAAGGAUACUUCAUAAUCCAACAUCAUUUAUUAUAUACAUCAUGAGAAGUCAUACUUUAAAUCACAAUGCUAUACACUUUACAUAGGAUCAUCAUAAGAUCACAUAAACUCAUUCACAUCAUGCCUUCACAUAUAGCUUCACAUAAAACUUUACAUAUAGCUUCGUAUAGGACUUUACAUAUAGUCUCAUUUAUAUAUAAUAACACAACAAUACAACAAUACUCAUACAAUACCCUUCAUGGCCACAAUCAUAAUUCCAAAGCAACAAGCAACACUUCCACUAAAGGUGGAUCCAACCUAAGAAGCAAUUAUAGCAAUAUUAAGAGAUCAAGCCAUCUUACCAUUCUCCAAAGCCAUAACCAACAUUAUUCAUAAAAUAGGUCAACUUACCAUCCUUUCCAAGCCACAAUCACCAUCCUUAAUUCUCCAUAAUAUAUCAAUAGAAUAACAUAGAUAAUAGUAGAAUUUAGCUAUACAAUACAAGCUAAACAUAAUCUAAUAAUCAACAUAAGAACCGAUUCACUAUUUGCCCAUGCAAGGCUCAAAUCUCUUAUCCUUCAAUUCAACAUCAAUUCUUCACAAUUCAACAUAUAUAAUACCAUAUAUGAACAGCCCAUACCAUACUAAACACAAUUCUAUAAUCAUUUACUCAAAAUCAAUACACCCACUUUAUGGUGAAAUUUAGAGAAUUUAACAUGGGUUCAUGGAGAUUUCUUUCAAAAAAAAAUAUUAAUAAUCAUUAAUAACAAUACAAAUCAUCAUUUAAAACCUUUUUAUGCAAGAACCCAUGCUAGAAUCGAAAUUAGGACUUUAGGGUUUUUGAAGAACUUUGAAACUACUUUGAAUUGGCUCUUUGAUUAAAAACGGAAUCAAAGAUAAAGAAUCCCCAUACCUUAAUAUUGAGAAAGCCCAAGAAAAUCGAUGAAAGAAGCCUCCAAUUUGAAACCCUAGUUCUUCACCCUUCUUCUUCCCUUGAAACUUGAGAGAAAUACUUGAGAGAGGGAAUGAUUUUAGGAAAUUCUAAUUUGAAGAAUGUAAGUUAUAACCCUCAAUUUAAAUGAAUCUAAUAUACCUAAAAUAAUAAAACAACUUAAAAAUAAAUGCCCAAACUACCCCUCACUUAGUUGGACCCUCUUUUUUUUUUUUAACUAGUUAUUAAUGCAUAAAACCCAUGUGAGGCUUUACUUUAUCCUACUUCAUUUUGAGGGGCGUUACAGAUAUAUACCAUAAACAGAAAAUGACACUUAUAAAACUUGUUUUCCCUACAUUUAUCAAGAAAGUCAUAUGAUAUUCCAUAAUUUUAAGAAACUUAUUUUCCUAAAGAAACUAUUUUUCAAAAUUUUUGUUCAACGUAACUAAACAUGAAAAAGAAAAUAUAUAGUAUAUUUUUUGAAAAAUAUUUUCCUCUCUAUCAAACACACCCUAAGACCACACUUAGUUUAGUUGCUUUAGGAAGUUUCCAUCAAGUUAGAAUAAUCUGUAGUCAGUAUUGAUUUAAGAAGAAUUAUAUUGAACUAAAUUAAUGUCUUUGUGGAAUUAAUGGAUGGUUCAGAUUGAUUUGCUUUGCCCAUCUUCUUUCUCUCACCGUAGCCUCUCUUAUACCCCCGAAUUAAUUGACUUCUCCAAAAACAUCCAACACUCCCCAAAAGGCCAAAACUUUUUUAAGUUCUCUCUGUUAACCUAGCUCAUUUCCUAAUUGAAAAUUCAAAGUAAAAAAGAAAAAAAUGUCUGGGCAGUGCUCAUUGUGUUCUGAUGUUUUUGGUUUAGUAUGUAGUGGUGGUGAUAAUUGUUUUUUUUUAAAUAUGGGCUAAGAGAGAAGAUGAUGGAGGAUACUGAAUAUUUCGUCAGCUUCAAAAAUCUCAUAGACAAAGUUUACCAUCGCUCUAUGGAUCUGUUUCAAUUCCAUAAUCAACUAACUUGUCAUAUCAAGUAAUUAAUAGCUUGAAACUUUUUAGUAUUACUCCUCUUUUUUUUCUUUUAAAUUUCUAAUGUAACUUCUUCUUCUUUUUUUGGAUCAUUUUAAACAGUAGCCAUAUAAUGGGAGCGGAGGUAGCUGCUAAGAUUGCUGAAUCACAAUUUUCUGCCGCCCAGGCUGCAGCUUCUGCCGCCCAGGCUGCAGCUUCUGCAGUCCAUGCCGCAGCUUCUGUGGUUCAGGCCGCGGCUUCUGCGGAUCAGGUUGCGGCUCAAGCCUCUGCUACCAUCGCAGAUCAAGAUGCAGCUACUGUUGGAGCUGAUGAGGUGGUCAAUGAAAGCGCUGGUAUCAGGUUUUGGAAUAAGACCAAGGCCUGUUUAGGUCAUGCUAUUCGUUUGUUGGCGAUAUGUAGUGUUGUAGCUGGGGAAUGUGCAUAGGCGUGGUUACUGGUGUUUUUCAUGUGGGUUAUGGAGGCACCACUCGUGCAGCUUUGUCAAGGAAGGAGGUCACUGCUAAUUAAUGCUUAUAUUAUAAAUAAUUGGCCUGCUGUUUUAAUUUGUUGUUGCGAUAUAAGUAAACAUUUUCAUGGAUCCUAAUGUUUUGAAUUUAGAUGGUGUUAGCCCAUCUUUCAGCAGUAGUGCUCUACCAACCUGCGCGGAAUCAGAAUCUGGUUAGACAAUCUCUAAUCGGAGCAAUUUUAGACAUGUCUCGAUGCUUAGAGCUAAACCUGUUAGAAGUAAAGAGGAUAAGGCAUUCCUUUUUACAACACUGACUAAACAACAAAUGAAAUAGAUCACUAUUCAAGUAGUGUGUCCAGAACUAUACUAUUCCAGCAGCUUAGAUUGUGUCUCGUAGCUAGGUUGAAUUACAUGAAAUAAUGAAAGCAAUAGCUUUCGAUCGAGUUUGAUCAAUCUCUUUUAGCACGUUAAUAGCAAAAAGGUUCACAUCCCCUCUAUCUUUUGUAAGAAUUUUUACUUACAUAUCACAUGGUAGGUCCAGCAAAAACCCUAUUGAUGAUGGCAUUUAAAAACAAAAAAUUGUGUUACCUCUCUUUAAUUAUCUGAGAGGAUAUAAAAAUGAAACAAGGCAAAAAGAUCAUUCCUGAAUUACCAAAGGAACAAUUUAAAAAUCAAUAUUUCUCAUGGCUAUGAGGCAUAUAUUCCACAACCCUAACGUUAACGUUAAUAAAUAAGAUACUUUCCGGAGGAACUUUAUUGACUUUGAGACUUGUGAGAUGAGACUAGGUCAUUAAUACUCUUUAAAGAGCUACUAAUAUAUUAUUUCCUAAACAUCAAAAAACUAUCUUCUCUGUGAAUCUAGCUCAUUUCCUCAUUGAAAAUUCAAAGAAAAAAAUGUCUGGGCAGUGCUCAUUGUGUUCUGAUGGUUUUGGUUUAAUAUGUAGUGGUGGUGAUAAUUGUUCUUUUUUUUUUUGAAUGGAUACAUCGUAAUGUUUUGAUUUCAAUUUUCAUUUUGUUUGAUUAAUUUGUUCCACUAGAUGCACUUGACAAAGAGAUAUUUGUGGUAUAUCUUUGAAUUCUUUUUUCUUUCUUUUUUGCUCCUUAUCAUACAGUAAAAUGAUAGAAAAUUGACAAAAACAAAUUUUGCAUCAGAUAGGUAGAUAUGAAUGAAAUAAUACUUGGGAACCGUGGUUUUUUUUAUUUUUUUUAUUUUUAAAACCAUCACUUUUGUUUACAAAGAAAAUUCACUUGUUGCAUCUUCUCCUCACGGAAGGAAAUUUUCACUUGUCCAGUUGAGUCAGACAGACAAUUGUACAUUCAGUAAUUAGGAAGACAUAUAUAGGAAUGACGGCAAAAGGGUAAUGAUCAGCUUGAGUCGAGUCACAAAAAAGGGUUUGAUGAGCUUGAGUCGAUUAUUUUCAAGAUCGAAUUUCAGCUUCUUCUUCUUAUGUAGUGUCUUAUUAUUUUGCCUUUGAACUUUUAUCAUUUUAUUCCACCUGCCUAAUGAUUUUCACCAUGCCAUGCUAAAACAUCAACUACUCCCUCGGUUCUAAUUUAUGUGACUUACUUUUUUUUUUUAGUCAGUCCCAAAAAAAUGACAUAUUUCUAUAUUAAGUAACAAUUUAACUAUAAAUUAUCUAUUUUACCUUUAAUGAAAUGAUUUACCGUCACACAAAUUUUCAUCAUUCAUUUUGAACUACAAAUUUUAAAAGUCUUUAUUUCUUUCUUAAAUUUCGUGUCGAAUCAAAUUACAGUCAUAAAAUGAGACGGAGGGUCCUCCAAAUCAGAUUCAUAUGCUAAGGAGUAAAGCUAAAACUUCCACUUGAAAUAAUCUUUUUGUUUUGUUGCACCCUCCAAUACAUUAGAAGUGUACCCUCCGUGUGACCGUGAUUCACGGUUGGGUCCAAUCAGUAUCCCACUUCAUUGUUUUUAGGGAAAAUGACCUGAUUUAUUCCUAAACUUUAUGAUUUGGAGUUGAUAUAUCCUCCGUUUAAAAAGUGACUCAUAUAUGUCCUUGUUGUUAUAGAAAUGGCUCAUAUAUACUCUUUUACUUAACAGACCAAUAUUUAAUAAAUAAAAAAUUAACAGACCAAUAUUUAAUAAAUAAAAAAAUCAUUUUUUUUGUCUUUAAUUUGAGAAAAUGCCAUGUGGCUUUUAAAAUACCCCACUCAAUAACUUUUCGCCAUGCCCACCUAACCCAAUUAGAAACAAAAUCACCCACCCAUUUAAAUAAACCAAACCCAUUUCAUUCCAUUUCUUGAUGAAAAUCUCAAGAAGACCAGCAAGCUUGGCAGUAUCAUGAGCUCCAUUGACAAGGAAAGUUUAAGUUUUUUCAUCAAAAUUUUAUAGUGUAAGAUGUUGGCCUUGCUAGAGCUUUGGCAAUACCUGUAGAAAGCAUCAUCACUGUUGGCGGCUCCAAUAUUCUGCAAAAACCAUUUUUUAUUCAAUAAAAUUUACUAAAGGUGAAUCUAUGGCACAUGACACAAACGAAUAGGAAAGACAGAGGAAGAUAGGCGAGCUCACACACACAAAACAAUGUAUUUCAGUUCAAUUUGAACGGUUAAAAUAAUUUAUCGCCAUUAAAAAUCAGUUUUAGUAGAAACUUGCUUGUUCACCAAUUUCUUUUGGGACGAUUAAAAAAAUUAAGCAAUUUGUAAGAAAAAAAGGUACCAAUUUCUUCAGAAAAUUUAGAAAGCUAAUAGAUCAAAAUACUACCUAUUGUAAGCUUUAAAUGGGAUGGGGUUUUGUUUCCAAUUGGGGAGACAAUGGAAUGAAAUGGGUUUGGUUUAUUUAAAUGGGUGGGGGGUUUUGUUUCCAUUUGGCAUUUUCUUAAAUUAAAGACAAAAAAAAUAAAAUUUUAAUUUAUUAAAUAUUGAUUUGUUAAGUAAAAGGGCAUAUAUGAGUCAUUGUUAUAACGACAAGGGCAAAUAUGAGUCACUUUUUAAAUGGAGGAUAUAUCAGCUCCAAAUCAUAAAGUUCAGGGGUAAAUUCGGCCUUUUUCUCUUGUUUUUAUUACUUCUCUCUCCCUAAUUUCUUGUCCAUUUUUUUUUUCUUUUUUAGUUAUCUUUAAUUACUUGUUCAUUUCUACAAAUCAAGAAAGGAUAAAAAAUAAUUACCUAUUAUAUCAUCAAUUAAUUACUUUGAAAAAGAUAAUUUUUUUUGAAAAUCUUAAGUUUUUAAUUCAUCCAUUUCAUAAUUAAUAGGAAUAAAAUGAUAAACUCUCUAUGUCAAUCAUUGUUUCUUAAUAAAUGUGUCAAUUAAAAAAUGGACAAAUAACGAAGGACCAAAAAAGUAUUUGAUUUUUUAAUUUAAAAAGGAAUAUAGAGUCAUGAUUAUUCGGUAAUUAAACUCCUACUCAAGUUUGGAUUCUGACAAUACAGAUGUGGCCUCAUAAUAAAGCCAAGAGAAAGCUUGGAAGUAGCUUCAGAAUAUGAGUGCCGCAAAGAGUGGCGGAUCUUUUUUGCUUUCAAUAGACUUAUCGAUUAACAAUUAUAACAAAUAAAAAAAAAAUAUGUCAGCUGUUUUUUCUUAAAAAAACGUGUUUGGAGCUUUUUCUUUUUCUUAAAAAUCGUCUGCAGUAAAUUCUUCAAAAAAAUAGGUAUAAAUGAAAUUCAAACCCGCAACAUCAGCCUUCUAAAGUUGUCCUCUUACCGUGGCACCACAAACCAAUUUUGUCCUCUAGAUAACACGCUUUAUAUUUAUAUAAAUAUUAUUAUAUAUAGAAUUUCUAUCGAAGUUCGGGAAUGACGUGACCACACCCCUUCAUAGAUCCCCCUGGCUGCAAAGGUAAAACAGACUUCUUUGAUGUGACUUCAUUAAGAGAGAGACACAGAAUCUUUCAGAAAAAGGGCUAAGUCAUAACAACAUUGUCACAAAUGUGACUUCUAGCCGACAGAAACACGCAGCUGCUGUAUGUACAGGUAAAUUUUCCUUCUUUUCUUUUACAGCAAAAUUUGGAACUAUUUUCAUUAUAAAAAAGGUAAAAAGAUAAAAGAAGAUUUGUAACAAUCUUGAUGCUCUGUAGUGGCAGGACUGCUUGUUAGUAUCAAAUGGUAUCCGUCUUGGUUGAACUUAGCAGAGUAGGAUAUUGAUACAAGUAAAUUAAGUUCUGUUAACUUGGUAUUUACACAAUUAAUUUUGGUGGUGUUUUGCAUCGAUAAAUUUGGUAUAUAUUUGUUAUUUUUUUAUACUUUUGUUAUUUGAAAUAUAUAAUAUUUCAUCCGUUUAAAAAUGCGUGGUCUAAUUUGAUUUAAUAUAGAGUUUGAUUGGGCGAUACAUUUUAUGAUUCUAAAUUAAAAUUAUGUCAUACUAUAAUGUCCUUUAAUCUUGUGACUUUCAGCAUAUCAUGCGCAAAACUAAAAUUAAAGUGUUAGCAAAAAAAAGAUCUUAUAAAAGGAAGAAUAACAAAGAAGAAACUAUAUUAUGGGAAUGAAAUUCAAAAAUUGAAAAAGGAAAAGGGGUGAGUCUACUCUUUCCCAAAGAAAACAAAAAGCUGCAUCCACUUGAAUAAUACUGAAAAUUAAAAGACAAUAUAUAACAUUGGGAUCACCAAAAGAAAAGAGUAUUACUUUGAAAAAAAUAUUGUACUGUUUUACUUUUUCUUUAUGUUGGGUUUAGCAAGGUGUGAAUGAGAAAUAAGAAGAGAAAAUGGAAAGUGGGAGAACUAAUUUUGGAAGGAAAGUGAAAAGUCAUUGCAAAAUGCAAAUGAAAUGUCAUUUUUACCAUAUUGAUAGAAGAAAGGAAAUUGUUGUCCUUAUAUUAGAAAACACUUCCUUUAGCUCUUAAAGGGUUAUGAAGAAGGUGCCCCUCGCCCCGUCGUCGUCGCUCGCUUGACUUCGGCUUCGAAUUUGAGUAAGAAUGAAACUACGUCACAUAAAAUGAGACGGAAGGAGAUUGAUAUGACUCCACUUGAAAUAAUCUUUUUGUUUUUUAAUGAACCAUCGCGCUUCACUUUUGGAAGAGGACAGACAAACUGAUCAAAGUAGAUACCAAAGCGAUGAUUACAUCGAGUCAGACUGUGUGUUCAUUUAUUAGCAAAGAGGCAACUUCACAUGCCUGUAAGUCACAUGAUUAUUCUGUAAUUGAACUAUCCUACUCAAUUAAAGUCUACCUGUUACCUUAAAAGGAUUAAAUUCAUAUUACAACAAAGUAAAAUUUUAAGUAUUAACUAAUGAGAGCUCAUAUUUGAUUUAGAUAUUUAUAUUUAAUAUUUUUAGUGUUGUACAACGUAUUAGUGAAUAGUGACCAAAUCAAGUACGAUACUAUAUCAAAGUAACAAUUAAUUGUGAUUGAAACUUUCAUUAACAUUUAAAUUAAGAUGAUAUUAAUACACUUCCAUGCAGUUUUUAAAUUCCAAGUUUGUCUGUGAUUUGAGUCACCGCAAUAUAGUCUUCAUGAUCAAAUCUAGUCUAAAUAGAUAACAAUUAUUUUUAAAAGAAAAUUGUUUAUGACAAGAACUUCAUUUGUUGUAACAAUAAUAUUUGAGGAAGACAUUAAAACUUACUACUUAGACAUUUAUUUUAAUGCUAUAAAUGUAUUCAUUUCCCAUACAUAGAUAAAAUUGUCAAAAUAGAAAUUUGUUUAAUAAAGUAGUCAGUACUAAUCAUAUUUAGAUCAUUGUGGCUAAAAUUAUUCGAUCUCCACAAGGUAUGCACCAAAGCGAUGAUUACAUCGAGUCAGACUGUGUGUUCAUUUAUUAGCAAAGAGGCAACUUCACAUGCCUGUAAGUCACAUGAUUAUUCUGUAAUUGAACUAUCCUACUCAAUUAAAGUCUACCUGUUACCUUAAAAGGAUUAAAUUCAUAUUACAACAAAGUAAAAUUUUAAGUAUUAACUAAUGAGAGCUCAUAUUUGAUUUAGAUAUUUAUAUUUAAUAUUUUUAGUGUUGUACAACGUAUUAGUGAAUAGUGACCAAAUCAAGUACGAUACUAUAUCAAAGUAACAAUUAAUUGUGAUUGAAACUUUCGUUAACAUUUAAAUUAAGAUGAUAUUAAUACACUUGCAUGCGGUCUUUAAAUCCUAAGUUUGUCUGUGAUUUGAGUCACCGCAGUAUAGUCUUCAUGAUCAAAUCUAGUCUAAAUAGAUAACAAUUAUUUUUAAAAAAAAAUUGUUUAUGACAAGAACUUCAUUUGUUGUAACAAUAAUAUUUGAGGAAGACAUUAAAACUUACUACUUAUACAUUUAUUUUAAUGCUAUAAAUGUAUUCAUUUCCCAUACAUAGAUAAAAUUGUCAAAAUAGAAAUUUGUUUAAUAAAGUAGUCAGUACUAAUCAUAUUUAGAUCAUUGUGGCUAAAAUUAUUCGAUCUCCACAAGGUAUGCCACAUCCACACAAAGUGUCUAAAUACUCAAAGUAUUCUUUCAAUAGGUAAAAACUCUAAUUAAGAUGAUUAAGUAAAUUACGUGAACAAUUUUAUAUCGAUAUAUAAUAUCUUCGUAAAUGUGAGACAAAGGAAAGUAAGAGAGUGAGUGAGUGAGUGAAAGAAACACCAAAAGAAAAGUGUGAAUUACAUGGGAAUUUUUCUGGGAUUAUGUAUGAAAAUUCGCAGGAAAAUAAGUUUUCUACGGAUUUUCCUAUAAAAAAGAAUCCGAAGGUAAAACCUUCGUAGGUAAUUAUUUCAUGCAAAUUUAAAAAUCCCCAAUUAAUUUACCUAGAGAUUUAAAUUCCGCAAGUAAAUUACUUGUGAAUUUUCUUGCAAAAAAUACAAAAGAUAAAAAUGAAUUUUCUUACCAAUUUAUUCGCAAGUAAUGUCGCAAAAAGAUACUCAAAUAAAUUUCUUUAAACAAUAUUAAUUAUUAUCUCCUAUUUGUUUAUUUUAUUAUUUNNNNNNNNNNNNNNNNNNNCCCCCUUCCCUCCCUCCCUAUUUACCUACCUAUCCAUAUUUUCCACACAACUAUCCACCCAUUGCACAAUUUCAUAAGUGCCCAAUCCCCCAUGAGAUCAAAUUUAAUUGCCCUCCUAAUGCCAACUCCCCAUGAGAUUUCAUAUAAGGGAUAGCUUAUAUGUAUUAAUAUAAGGGAACAUGUCAAAGAACAAUAAAUAACGAUAACCAAAAGCUCAAACAGUACACUCGAAUUUUCUAUGCCAAUUAUAUUUAAAUAUUUAAUAUAUAAUUUUAUUACUCAUCUCUCGGAGUAUGCCUUGACUUAAAAAGUAAUUUUAAAAUCAAAAAUAAAAAGUCCAACUUGAAUUACUUUUAAGUUAAAAAUGUAAAAGUAUAGGAAAACCUAAUUUUGAUUUUUUUUAAAACUUAUUUUAAGUUGUUUUUAUCUUCUCAAACACUUUUUAACUUAUUUUUAGUUAUUUUUUUUAUAUUUGUCAAACACUUUCAGAAGUUAAAAACUGACUCUAAAAUAGGUUUGGCCAACUUUUAAACCAAUCCAAACACCCUCUAAUUACUUUGUAAUUUUUCACAAUCUAAUGAUUGCUUGAUAGAGUGUAUAAAAAAUAAUGCUAAAUAAAGCUUAUUAGUAAUAUUUGCAUUAGUAAUGCUUGUAUUAGAUACACAUAGAUUAUUUCUAAUGCAUUGUUUGGUUUGGUGUAUUAAAAAUUACAUGUAUUGUACAAAAAUAUUUAUUUACCAAAAUAUCCUCCAAAAUUAUGAUGAAAAGAUGUAAAUAUGCUUUCGAAAGGAAGUUUUAUCUUUAAAAUGCUAAUGCUUGCAUUAAAUUCCUUUGUAUUACUAAUACCUAAAAAUCCAUAAUAUUACUAAUACACUCCUUAAUAUAUAAUAGAAUGCAUAACUAAUACAAAUAGAGUAGUAGUUAUACCUAAUAUUAAAAGGUGCACCAAAUAAAAUAAUACAUAGUGAUUCGGUAAAUGUGAGACAAAGGAAAGUAGGAGAUCAGUGAGUGAAAGAAAGAAGAAAUGGCUGAUAAAGAUUAAAGAGUAAAAAACAGAAAAUAAAAAUGGUAACAAAAUAAUACAUGAAAGAUAAGACAGAUAGGAUAAUGGAACAAGACAUUGAUUUUAUAUGAUAAAUUUAUUCACUAGUAAAUAUAUAAAAUCGUUCAUAAACUUGGCAAUCAAAUUCACUUUAUCACUUACAUUUUGCAGACGUUUAAAUACUCCUUAUUUUAGUUUAGAAUUGAUUAUUUUUUUAAAAUAAAAUUACCUAAUAUAGCUAGAUUCUAAUAUAUUAUUAUUAAGAAAAAAAGGGGGGUUGAAGACUUGCCUCCAUUGCAACACCAUUAUAACAUGGUUGAAAAGUAAAUUAACACACCAUUAAAUGACGUGACAGACAAAUGUUAGUAGUGUUUAUAUACUAUUUCUGAUUGGGCAAGUAAUAUUUUAUAAGGAGAGAGAAAGAAAAAAGCAAAAAAAAAAAAGAAAAAAAAAGAGGAAAUGUUUCAAAUUUCAAACUCAUGACCAUCUAGUACAAUGAACUCAACUUGAUCAUUAAGCUAUCAUAUUAUUCACAUCCAUACUCAAUUAUUAGUUGAAGUAAAAAAAUGACUUUUCAUAAGUAACAGAGUAUUAACAUUUUUUGUUAUAGUGUUGAUGUUCUAAUAUCAUUAUACUUUCAUUAAUAGUAUCAAUGGUGUUUUGAUUUUUUACUCUUAAUUUAAUUAUUUUGAAUAUUUAAGAUUUGUAAAAUACAUACAAAUUAAAUUAAUAAAUAUAUGUUUGUUUUAUUUGAUGAAAGAAAUUUUUUUUAAAUACCUUAAAUUUCUUAAAAUAUUGUUUUUUUAUUACUUUCAAAUUUGAAUAUUAGCAGAAAUUAAAUCUAAAAUUUAAUAAAAUUUUUGUAUCGCGCGAAGUACGGACAAAGAAUCUAUUUAAUAUACUUUCUAAUAUAAAUCUCAAAAGCACGUAAAAGUACACCAAACUUAAAGCACGUAAAAGUACACCAAUUGUAGAUAUCCAAACAGAAAAUAUAAACUAAAUCAUAUGAAAAGCAAUAACUAAAAUGGAACGAAAAUUGUUAAUUCCUACUUAAUUUUAAACCUAAAUAUUAUACAUGUAAUUAAUAAUUUAUAUUGAUUUUUUGGUUUUUAUUUUUUUAAAAUUCGAAACCCCAAAAAACCAAAUAAUGCACGCCUCUACGUCAUGAUAUCGUCUAAUAUAAUUUCAACAUGAAGGCAAAGUUAUAAUAUCGUUUUUUUGUUAUUUUACAGUACAUACAGCCGCUAAAUCUGUAAAAACUGACACAAUAUAUUUUGCUCAUGGUAGUGAAAGUAUAAAAACUAGUUUGUUUUUAAAUUUCACUUUUUAAUAGCAGAUAACUACAAAGAUGGAAGCUAGUGUAGUGAGUUGAUAAAGUCCAGUAUCCAUUCAAAACAAGCAAACAACAAUAAAAAUAAAAAUGAGAGUCCUUGAAUAAGAUAUUUGUGGAAGCUAAAAACAUAUAAUUCAUCCAAUUAGUUAGUGAAUAAGCAUUUCUAAAUGAGAAGAGAAGAAAAAGGGAAGUAAAAAAUAAAAUCGUAAGGAAAUAACCAUGGGGUAUUUGUCUUGAGUUUUUCUUAAUUAUAAUUGGAUUUAUUUUUGCUAAAAAGAAAAACACAAACUCUUCAUAUUUGGCUAGUCAUUUUUUUUAGGAAAAUGAAUCUAUAAAUAGAGGUUCAUUCUUUCUAACUUGAUAGUAUUCACAAUGUAGCCCUAUGGUGCUUUGAGAGCUUUAUGUACGAAAGGAAGAAAUAGUGAGAUAACACUUGUGUGAACCUCUUUUUAUUUCAAGUGAAUUAUGUAAGGUUAUUUCUCUCGAUAGUUUGUACUCUCAUAUUUAUAUAGUUUAAUGAAUUGUCUAUCUCCUUUUAUGAACGUAGGCCGAUUGAUCGAAUCACGUUAAUUAUAUUUUAUCUCUUUUUAAUAUAUUUUUUAUUUAUUUUCUUACUCAUAAUUUUUCAAAAUUUAUUUUGUUAGCUUUCGCAUAAUACCUAAUUAUUUCAAUCCUAAUAACAAUAUGAUUAUGAACGGGGGAUGGGAUUUCGUGUCAAUAUAAACUUAAGACAUAUUAGAUGCACCAAUAUAAGCAGGGAACUAAAUAGAACACUUUGGAAUUGUGAAGACUACACAUAGGGUGUGUUUGGUACGAAGGAAAAUGUUUUCCAUGAAAAUUUAAUAUUUUCUUAAAAAAUGUUUUCCUGGAAAUAGAUAAAUUUUUGACUUAUUUUUUCAUGUUUGAUUGGUGAGUAGAAAAUAUUUUCUGGAAAAGAUUUUUAGUGUUUGAUUUAUGAAUGAAAAACGUUUUUGAGAAACAUCUUUUAUUUUUACUAGAGUAGAAAAUGUUUUUUAAAAAAUAAACUUAAAUUUUUUUUGGGGUGGGGAGAGGGGUCNNNNNNNNNNNNNNNNNNNNNNNNNNNNNNNNNNNNNNNNNNNNNNNNNNNNNNNNNNNNNNNNNNNNNNNNNNNNNNNNNNNNNNNNNNNNNNNNNNNNNNNNNNNNNNNNNNNNNNNNNNNNNNNNNNNNNNNNNNNNNNNNNNNNNNNNNNNNNNNNNNNNNNNNNNNNNNNNNNNNNNNNNNNNNNNNNNNNNNNNNNNNNNNNNNNNNNNNNNNNNNNNNNNNNNNNNNNNNNNNNNNNNNNNNNNNNNNNNNNNNNNNNNNNNNNNNNNNNNNNNNNNNNNNNNNNNNNNNNNNNNNNNNNNNNNNNNNNNNNNNNNNNNNNNNNNNGGGUGGGGUAAAAAAAUUGAAUUUAAAAACAAGCUUUAAAUUUUAUUUUUUUGGGGGGUUUGGUUGGGGGGCUGGUUUGAGGGUAGGGACAAAAUAAAUUGAUUUUUUCAACAAAAAAAAAUUGUAAUUUAAACUUGGAGAGGAAUUUUGGAAAAUGUUUUCCUUAAGUUUUGAAGGGAAGUCAUUUUUCUUAAAUUUGAGGAAAAUGAGUUGAUUUCCAAAACAUUUUACCCAACCAAACAUGAGAAAAUUGGAAAAUAUUUUUCUCCGUACCAAACACAUUCAUAGUCAUUGUUCUUCGUAUUUUCGUCAUGUUCUUUAUGUUUUUGCAUUGUUUUUCUUUUUUCUAUGCUUUUUAUUAUAAGCCAAUUAUUGGUAAUACUAGUAAAGAAUUGCCCGUAGCGCACAGGCCUAAAUCUCCCCAAAAAAUGCUAUUUUGAAAUUCUUCAAUUUUAAUUAUACAACUACUUAAUUUAUUCGCGUUUCACGCAUUGUAAAAAAAAAAAUGUAAAACCUCACUAAAUUAAAUUCAGUAAAUUAAUGUAAUAUUUUUAAGGUAAUAUUUCUUCAGGAAACUAGCUACAUAAAUGGGUCAUGAAACUCAAAAUAAUAUCAUGUUCAUACCUUAAUCCAAAGUAUUUCAAGAAAUGCUCAUUCUCUAAAACAAAAAAAACUACAGCCUAUACCCCUAUUCAUUACGACUGAUAAUUUUCGCUUAACUAAUACUAAAUCAAUAUCAUAUACUGUAUUGAUAUCAUUAAGGUAGAUAAUUUCGCUUAACUGAUUCUAAAUCAGUAUAUAUAUAUAUAUAUAUAUAUAUAUAUAUUGUAUUGGUAUCUUAAGGUUUCUUGUUCACAAAUUACUCAUUAGUCAUUAAUACUAUAGAGUAUAUGUAUAUUACCAACAUAGGUUGUGGUGCACUGGUGGGAGUGUUUCACCCUUAACCAGAGGUCUCGAGUUCGAGGAGCGCCACCCCCGAAUGGGCCCUGCAGAGCGCUAUCCAAAUUUAGUCGGAACUCCAAUUAAUUAGUCAAUGAUGUCGGGUCGGAAACCAAAAAAAAUAAGAGUAUAUAUAUAUAUAUAGAUAUAGAUAUAUAUUGUUGUGGUAUCAUUAAGGUUUCUUGUUUAGAAAUUAUUCAUUAGUCAAUGAUAUUAUAAGAGUAUAAGUAUAUUGUUUAAGGUUUCUUAUUCAAAAAUUACUCUUCAAUUAUAUUCUUUGAUGGCUUUUCUAUAAUUAAAAAUUUGAGUUUUAGCAAAAUUAGUAUGCACUAAGCUUUCAUCAUGUGCAUGAUCAGAAAAGGGUUAGAACCAUAAGGGGUCGUUUGGUUACUGUAUAAGAGACAUCUUAUUCAUGUAUAAAAAGUUGUAUUAGCUUUACUAUGUUUGGUAGAAAUUUUGUAUUAUAAAAGUCAACAUAACUUUGUCACGACCCGGGGUUACCCCUAGAAGUAACACAACGUAAUUGACCCCAAAGAGGUCACAUACAAGCCUCAUAGCAUUCAUGAACAUUCAAGCAUAGGGAAAUAGCGCGGAUUUUAAAACUUUUCUUUACAAUCGAAGUCUCUUAUAAAAUAAAAGAGAAUGUAUGACACUACGUCUCAAACCAUCUAUUAUACUUGGAACAAAACUCUUGAAAUACAAUCUUAGGGACAUAGCCCUUACAACCAACGUCUAAAACAUAAAAGAAAGACAAUAAAGGACACAAGGUUGAGCCCUCGAAUACAAUGAGGACUCACCAAUCUUCUUCUUCUUGAUCUCCUAUGAACCUAGCCACGAGGAUGAAAUCUAAUAUCUCCAAAGCCUACACUUAUAGAAAAUGUAGAAAGAUGGGGUUAGUACAAAAAGUACUAAAUAUGGAAACCAUGCACAAAACCAUUAAAACAUGCAUAAAAGGGACACUUCAUUUGAAAUCAUGCUAUAUGCCAUUUUUUAACAUCAUCUUUGAAAUAGCUGGAGAAUACAACCAAUAAGGCAACUCACAUACAUUUCAUUAUAACAUGAGGAUAUCAUUAUAAUAACAAGCAUAGUCUCCAACAUCAACAUAACACAAAUCCCAAUCUUCACAAUACAUAGCCUCCAAUCAUAAAGUAAUACAAAGUCUAAUAUCAAGAUCAUCUCAUCAUUAAGUAAUCAUCACAUUAGCAAUCCAUAAGAGACAUUUGUGCAAUGUAUGGUAACUAACAUGCAUUUACAAUGUACAACACAAGCCAAAAUCACAUUUAUACUCAUUUCAUAGUAAAGUCAUUACCUUAGUAACCCAGAAGGAACACUUGUGCAAUGUGAGGUUAGCAUGCCAUAAUACCAACCCUACAAGUACUCCUUUGAAGCUACCUUAGUCAUGCACUUCAUCUUUAGACCUCAUUAUAAUCAAUAGUCACAAAUAAGGAAAUAGUCAUGUACAUUACUUGAAUUAUAAGGAAAGUCAUUCAUAACAACUAUUCAUUCAAUAUACAUGCAUGCAUUCAAAUCUCAUCAUAAUAUAAAAGGAACCAUCCCAUGACAUCCUACUAAGUCUGCUUGUGCAAUGUAAAGUGAAGUUCCAUACCCCCCACUCCUACUAAGUAAAACCCAUUAAGAGGUCAUAUUAUAGUUCGUGUCUCAUUCAUUAUCUUUAUUAUAUAAGGAAAAGUUGUCAUAACCGACAUAGACCAUGUGAGCUACAUGGAAUUCGGUGUCGUGCAACCCCACACCGAAAGAAGGUGUCCUACUUGCCUAAGGUAGAACUAAAAUGUAUAGUUAUAAGAUGGAUCCACUAGCUAAAGUCCUAUGUUGGCACAUAGUUAUGGGAUAGGGAGAUUGCUUCUAAAAACCCGACCUCUUGCAUUGGCGGAGGAGCUUUUAUCUUAUGAAUUCACUUAGAUGACCCAACCUCUUGUAUUGGUAGAAGGGCCUUUACCUCAUUGUCUAUAUUCACUCAGUGCUUAGCAUUAUUUCCCAAAUUAUACAUAAUUAGUCUUUGAAUUGUAUUUACAUGUGUGAAGGAAUAUUUUGCCCUUUGUUCAAUACAAUUCAUCAAAAUAGCUCAUAGAUUCAUUAAAGUGAGAAUGUACUUUCAACUUUAGAAUCAUAAUUAGUACGUGAGAAUAACUUUCACACCAAGUUCAUGUGUUCUCAUGAGAAUGGACUUUCAAUCAACACAAUAGGAUCAUCAUGGUCAUGUACAUUUCAUGCAUAAUAAUGUGUAAAUGUGCAUAUGAGAACUAUACUUUCAAUUAACACCAUUGAUACAUCAUCAUCAUGUUUAUGCAUGGAGUGUGUGUGUGUCUAAUUGUCUUUGCAAUGACACAAUCGACAACAUUAUCAUCAUGGACACUUCAUUCACAAUUUAAAAAAAGGGUAAGGGAAGGAUGGUCUUUCAACAAUACCUCAAUAUACCCAAUAUUCAUAGGACCAUCAACUUCUAAGUAAAUCAUGAGUUCACACACAAUCUUGUCAACAUGCACAAACCAUCACAAUAUGCCCUUCAAGGGCUAGGGACUAACUCAUCCCAAACACAUAGCAAUAGCACAUUAGAUAAGGGAAUACCAUGAUCCAAUAACUCAUCAAUUCAUUAAUCACAUCAUGAUUGGCACUUUAUACUUUAAGUAUUCAUCAACAUGCACAUAAUAUCAUGAUCAAGUCAUUUCAUUUAGAAGCAUUACCCUAAACCAAUUCAAGUCUAGGUGAUCUAAUCUAAGGCAUUAUAUGGAGAAAUUCAUCAUUCUUGGAGGAUCACAUUUAGACCCUUAAUUAGCCUCUUUCAUGGCACAACCCUAGACUAUAUCAAUUCACCUUAGAAAUCUUAGGUUAAUCAAGUAUACAUGUAAAGUCACACUUAGAUCAUGCAAUUACAUCAUAAUUAACUCACAUUCAUUCCAUUGGACCAACUUGCAAAACCAUCACAUAAUGUAAAGAAGAACCAUAACUAGGAUUGGGGAAAACUCAUGGAUUCUUUGGAAUUCAAGUUAAAAUCAUCUAAAAUCAGUACCAUCAUCAAUAAAAAACAUAAUUCGACCUUUAAGAACAACUUUGAAAGGAAUCCAUGGGGUUGAGUUGAAACCCUAGCUAAUUGGGUUUUCUAGAAUUGAGUUAAAAACUUUUGAAAGGGCUCCUUGGGUGAUAGCUUCCUAAGGAUGAAGAACUCUCAUACCUUAGGUGUAGAAUCCAACCAAUUUCGUGUUGAAAAACUCCCUUCUUCAAGCUUUAACUUGGUUUCCUUCUUGGUUCUUCAAUGGAGUUUCUAGAGAAAAGAGUUUUGGAGAGAAGAGUAGUUGAGUUUUGUCUUGGGUUAUAAUGACUUAAUGAGGUGUUUAAUGACAUAAAAUAGUUUUUAUAUAUGUAUAAUUACUAUAUUAAACGACUCUUACUCAAAACAACUAAUAAAACAGUUUCCUAAACUACCCACCCUUUGGCCGUGUCUAGGCAGUCUACAUGUGCAGUUCACGAGACCCUCAUCCACGGAUCGUGGAUGGGACCACGCCCCGUACUAUGGGGUCGUGGUUUGGGUCUACAACCUGGACUUGGUGGCUUUGAUCUACGGAGCAAGACCACGAGCCGUAGAUCAAUCUACUGGUUGUGGAUUGCAUCUGUAGUUCAUGGAAUUUUGGCAGUUUUUGCUUUAAGGGGCAACCUUGGGGUUAGGCUUUAGGGUCCCCCUCAAGGACCCUUGGUUGGUCCUUGGGGGGUCGUACCUUGACGUUUAACCCCUAUAAUCCUCAUUCUAAGUUCAGGAAGUCAAUAUGCAACGUAAAAUCAAACAUCAAACUCAGAAGCUCACAUGUGAGGCUCUAGUUUCACCUACUAGUUUCCAUUAGACUUUACCUUGGUCUUUCUAGAUUUACAGGUUGUUACAAACUUGUACCAUGUUUGGUUGGUAAGGAUUUAAAUGUUGUAUAGAAGUUAUUCAUGUAUUAAUUUAUACGGUGUUUGGUUGCAUUUUUUGUAGUCCUACAUAAUUAAUACCAACAUAACUUAUGAGGGAAUCUAUGUAUAAAGUUAUGCAGGGUAGAAGGUAGAAUAAGUUAUGUGUGUAUUAGUUAUACAUGUGUUAAAAUGAUAAAUUACAUAUUUACCAAUUAAUUUAUUUUAUUUUUUUAAUUGGUAACUUUACUGUUUCCUUAUUAUACGUUUGUUGUUUUUAUUUCUUUUUAUAUAUAGACCAUUUUCAUUUUUUUUUAAUUUUUUUUAAUUGGAAACUUUCCUACUGUUUUCCUAUCUACGUUUGUUGUUUUUAUUUCUUUUUAUAUAUAGACCAUUUUCAUUUCUUUUUAUAUACUUACAGUUUUUAUUUAUUUAUGCAAAUAUAAAUAUUUUUUUUAAUAUUAGAAAUUUGAUUGUAUAUUUUUUGACGGUACAUAUGCUAAUCAAAUAUUAGCAUUAUAUAUUAUUCAAUCUAUUCCACAUUUUAUUAGCACGUAUUAUUAUUUUGUAAAUAAUAUAUAUUAAUAAUUUACAACAAGUUUAAUAUUCAAUAGUUAAUAAUUCAUGUAUUGUAAUCUCUACAUAAUUAAAUAAUACCUACAUAACUAAUAUCUGCAUAACUAAUACUCGCAUAUAUAAACCCAACAUAACUAAACCCUGCAUAACUAAUUCAUGUAUAACUAAUAUCGGCAUAACUAAACGCUACAUAACUAAUACUCCUGCAUAACUAAACCCUGCAUAACUAAUACCUGCAUAACUCAAACCAGUAACCAAACGGCCCCUAAGGGAUCUAUUUGUACGCAAUUCCUUUUCUCUAUUUGCUCUGAUUAUAGAUGUGGGCACGUGGCUAAGAAACAUAAUUUCACAUGAGAAAAAAUUGUGUUGUGGCUAAGAAACACAAUUUACGUGAGAAAGAAUUGUGUUUUAUGGAGAGCUUUAUAUAUGAUAGAACUUUGUACACACGAUGACAGGAUCAGAAUUUUUUAUUAAAAAAUUUAAAAUAUAUAAAAACAAAUAUAUAGGAAAAAAGAUAAGAAGGUUUAAAUUUGUUAUAUAUAUAAAUUUUUAAAAAAUAAAUAUUUAGCAUUGUGUAAAACUUAUCAUAGGGAGAAGGCCAGAAAAAAGUUUUAAAACAGAAAGAAAUGAACACUUAAAUGAAGAGACAAAAUAGAUUGAUGUCUGCUCAUGAAGAAGCAUUAGAAUGAUCUUUUUAGUUCCUUGAUAAUCUGUGUUACACAAUCUCACUAUACAUGCUGUAGGUAUCAGAGAAACAAAUAUCUAUACCUGGCCAAAAAUGAUCUAGAUAUACAUGAUACAUAAACUAGGAAUAACUACUUCUAUUUGCUUGCCAGAACUUCAUCUAGGUAAAAAGAUUCCGCUGAUCGAUCUGUUUCAGAGAAGCCAUAUGCUGAACUCAUCAGAUCAUCUGCUUUCUCAUCGAACAUCCUAACAUCUGUUUCUUUAUCAAAUACCUGGUUUCCCUUUUUCCCUCGUUCUGCCCUGGACGACACUGUUUUGUGCUUGAUACCAACAGCUUCAGCUUGAUCUGCAAAUAAUUUCUUUGAGAUGGACGAACUGCAUAUUUGUUGAUAUACAUCGUAGGUAGCUGCGUGAGUGUUUUCUCCGUUCAGAAUAUUUGAAAGAGGAUGCAACACGGAAAUUGGAUCACUGUUCCUACUUAGAGUUUCCUUCAAUUCUAGAAACUUAGAAACCAGUUCUGGCUUGCUAAACUGAAUAAAGACAGCGCUUUCAUCCAAAUGGUAGACAGAGGAAACAGAAUUUGGGCCAAAGGCUUGUGCUAUAUAAGCUCUUAUCUCCCUUGCUUUUAGUUUAGAUGGCAAUCCCCAUAACAGAAUGAUGCUAGGAAAUGAGAUAUCCUGGUACCGACUUUUGAG
rnacentral:lncRNA from 1 species